rnacentral:rRNA from 1 species
UUGAACGCUGGCGGAAUGCUUAACACAUGCAAGUCGAACGGUUGUAGCAAUACAGCAGUGGCAGACGGGUGAGUAACGCGUGGGAACGUACCUUUUGGUUCGGAACAACACAGGGAAACUUGUGCUAAUACCGGAUAAGCCCUUACGGGGAAAGAUUUAUCGCCGAAAGAUCGGCCCGCGUCUGAUUAGCUAGUUGGUAGGGUAAUGGCCUACCAAGGCGACGAUCAGUAGCUGGUCUGAGAGGAUGAUCAGCCACACUGGGACUGAGACACGGCCCAGACUCCUACGGGAGGCAGCAGUGGGGAAUAUUGGACAAUGGGCGCAAGCCUGAUCCAGCCAUGCCGCGUGAGUGAUGAAGGCCCUAGGGUUGUAAAGCUCUUUUGUGCGGGAAGGUAAUGACUGUACCGCAAGAAUAAGCCCCGGCUAACUUCGU